AUUGAACGCUGGCGGCAGGCCUAACACAUGCAAGUCGAGCGGAUGAAGGGAGCUUGCUCCUGGAUUCAGCGGCGGACGGGUGAGUAAUGCCUAGGAAUCUGCCUGGUAGUGGGGGAUAACGUCCGGGAACGGGCGCUAAUACCGCAUACGUCCUGAGGGAGAAAGUGGGGGAUCUUCGGACCUCAUGCUAUCAGAUGAGCCUAGGUCGGAUUAGCUAGUUGGUGGGGUAAAGGCCUACCAAGGCGACGAUCCGUAACUGGUCUGAGAGGAUGAUCAGUCACACUGGAACUGAGACACGGUCCAGACUCCUACGGGAGGCAGCAGUGGGGAAUAUUGGACAAUGGGCGAAAGCCUGAUCCAGCCAUGCCGCGUGUGUGAAGAAGGUCUUCGGAUUGUAAAGCACUUUAAGUUGGGAGGAAGGGCAGUAAGUUAAUACCUUGCUGUUUUGACGUUACCAACAGAAUAAGCACCGGCUAACUUCGUG
rnacentral:rRNA from 1 species